AACUAGUUACAAGGGAGUCAAUAAAUUGACUGAGAAAAGGAUGAUGAGCCUUGACCUUUUGACCUGAUUUGGAUAAUGCCAACGUAGGAAGUAAAAGAGUUUAUUUU
rnacentral:ncRNA from 2 species